GUUAAUGUCUAUGUUAAUGGGCUCCUCCAGUAGCCACAUAUUACUGAAAACACCUUACAAAGUAACUCUGUAGUUUUGAUUUAUUUACAGGAUUAUUUCUAGGUUUAUCAGAAGGAACUAUAGGACAGUU
ensembl:snoRNA